CCUCUGUUUUUUUUUUCCUUAUACUUCCUUUCAGACCAUUUUACUUUCAGAAAAUUACUUGUAGAAAUAAUUGCAUCAUGUGUUUCAAAUCUAGUAUGUAAGGCAGAAGGCAGACCUAUUUUUUUCUUCUUAAAACAUAUAUUGGUUUGUGACACGGAUUUGUUUUCGAUUAAUCGAAUUAUGACUAUUGAACAGCUGCAUACUACUGUUGCCUUUAUAUAUCAAAGUUUUGUCCCUUUACAACAAGGUGUUAAACUUGUCAAGUAAAGGAAUCGAUUGUUUGAAAUAAAGGCUUGUUUUCGACUACUGAAUAAAGUGUGCACCAUUUCUACUUUUGAGGUUAAAUUGAUCUCAUUUGGUUAGGAUUUUGAUUGAACAUCACUUGACAUAAGUGUAUGACUGCUAUUUUUGGAAGAAGCAACAGUGUAAGCUUUUGAAAUUGACAAGUGACUUUGUUUAAGCGGGAGGCUUAUGUGGGGGUAGGGGGAUGGGGGUUGACAAAGAUUUAUUUUAGUUUUUUCUUUACUUUUUGUCAGCCAUGCCACUUCUACUAGUUUCAAACCCCGAUAAUUUAAUAGAUUUUUUUUCUUCUUUUUUUCAAAAUCCUGUUCGAAAAAUAUUUUCCAAUGCUGAUGAUCAAAUUCACGAAUUACAUAUGAUGGUCUUGAAGUAUUGAUUCAAGGAACUGACGUUGUUUGUCAUCUUAAUAACGCGUUAUUUAGUUUUCUUUUAUUUGUCUUUGUAAAUUAUUAACCUUUACUGUUUAGUUCAAGUUUGGUAAUAUCCUUUUAUCGUGGCUCGGUACUUAUACAUCCCGCAAAUGUGUUGUUUUGAGGUGGUUAUUUUUAUGUAUUCUUGUCUUUCAUUUUUGCUUAUGUACUUUGUAUAUAUGCUAUGUUUUUUUUUAAAUAUUUGUUUGUUUUAAUAGUGAUACAGAUUAUAAGACAAUGUUGAUUGAUGUACCCCUAUUUUCACAUGUUUACCUAUAAUGUGUGUUUGUUUUGU
rnacentral:lncRNA from 1 species